rnacentral:tRNA from 1 species
AUUUAAAUAGUUUAAUUAGAAAAUUUUAAUUUGUGGAAUUAAAGAUAUAAAUUUUAUUUUAAAUA